rnacentral:ncRNA from 1 species
GACCUUGAAAAUCUAUGGUGAGGUCACGCAAACUUCUCAACAGGCCGUACCGAUAUCCGCAGCUGGUCUCCAAGGUGAAGAGUAUCUAGUCGAUAGAGUAAUGUAGGUAAGGGAAGUCGGCAAA